rfam:Oryza meridionalis cultivar OR44 (W2112) chromosome 6, whole genome shotgun sequence.
AAUAAACGCAGUUGUGGGUUUCGCCUAACUUUAACCAUCCGUCUUAUUUUAAAUAUUUUUAUGAUUAGUAUUUUUAUUGUUAUUAGAUGAUAAAUAUGAAUAGUACUUUAUGUGUGAUUUAACUUUUAAUUUUUUUUUAUAAAUUUUUUAAAUAAGAUAGAAGGUCAAAUAUUGGGUACGGAAACUUAUGGUAGCAUUUAUA